CCGAGUCCUGGGGCCUCCCAGCUCCUAACUCCCACCCUGUGUUGAAUUAUGAAAGCGUUGCUUUGGCGGGCCGGCCUCGUGGCCGCCGGCCCCAGGGCUGGAGAGCGCCCGCCAGAGUCCUUUUGAACCCGUCUGAACCGUGGUGUCCGAGUCUGAGAUAAUGAAUGA
rnacentral:misc_RNA from 1 species